GAGCUUCGAGUCUGCUCAGGAGAGAGUGGUGUGAACGCUGGGUAAAACCACAAAGUGAAUUUAAUUACCCUGCGCAAACAUAAAUUCACAAGGCAACAGACGGUAAGAAAUUGAGAACUCUGCAAAAGGGUCAGCAAAAAAAGAGAUUUCACAGACGAAGUGGAGUGGUAAAAAGACCAGGGAGAGACGGAGAGUGGGGAACCAAGGGAGUAAAGGACAGGAGGAGGUACCUGCCAGCUACGUUCUGGGCCGUUUUUGCAGAUAAGGCUCAAAAACCUCACAGCUACCUCCUGAAGUGGCAUCAAAAGAGGUGACUUGUCCCAGCAGGGCCCUGCAGAAGGUCAGGUGAGUGACCUCGGCGAGGAUGCAGCCAACCUUCAGAAGCAAGAAAUUUCAAAGACUACAUAUAUCUACAUAUAUGUUACCCGUCAUGGUGGGAGACGCCCUCCUGAUUCCACCUGAGACCCUCUUCCAGGUAAUCUGUGUAAUUAGAAGAGGAAGAGAACAGGGAAAAGAAGCGGAGACUGAAUUCCCUUCUUAUGCUGGCACACAUCGGUCAUCUGGAUAAACUGGAAAUCACUGAUGAGAAUCCUGUGGGAUAACUAGGCAGCCAGUGGCAUCGGCACAUCAUACCCCUUCAGUAAUAACUGUCAUGAUAAAACUACCGCUGACCGACUGUCCUUAAAGGGCCGAGACUCCAGAUCAAGCUGUGCACCAUUGGCCAGGGGACUUCCAACCCCAGUUCUGGUUCCCUCUGUGUCCCCUGACUGGCUCCCAGCCCACCUUGAGCAGAGGGAGAAGGUAACAGGUCCACACUCCUCCUCGCUCUCCGGUCUUCCCCUCUGCAUUCCUUCCAUCCACACAGGAGCACACCACCGGCUGAGCUCCGGGACUCCUGGAGACAUUUAUUGGAUGUCUGGCCUAAGUGCUGGGGACCAAACAUUCAGAAGCUUCCUGAGAUGGGCUCUGAACACGACUGUGGCCCAUGGAAGCGGUUCUCGAAUCUGAAAGAGCAUCCCAUUACUAGAAAUCUUGCCAAAACACAAAUUUCUAAGUGCCUCCCAGAAAUCUGAGUGCCAUACCCUGAAGUUUCCUAGUGAGGCCUAAGAAUUUGCAUUUGAAACUACUGUUUGGAACUGGGGACCACACCCUGAGCUCCUAGCUGGCUUUCUGGCCCCACCAGUAGAGUUACUUCUGACACUGGGAGACCCUGUCAUGGGACAGGGUAGAGCUGUGGUCAGCAUCCUUCAGGGACCACCUGGGAUGCUGGGUCACCACUCAGGAUCUUGAGACACUGGGAGAGGAAGGAGAGAAGGGUUAAUGUCCAGCACUUAGCUGGCAGUCCCCGGAGGGCAGGGGCUGUCUGGAGCUUCCUGAGAAUCCCACUCGCUCCUCCCCUGAUUCCGGCAGUGUCAGGGUUUUUCCACAGUAGAUGUUCGAUCAAUAUUCAUUGAUGAGGAUUCAUUGAAGAGGAAGAACCUACCUACAGCCCAGGCCAGCCAUAAAAUGCAAACAGCAGUCACUCAAUAAAUAUUUAUAGAGCAUCCUCUAUCUACUAUGUCCAGAGGGUCUAAGCCCAGCUGUUAUUUAUUCACUGUUAUUAUGCUUACGGAUCAACCCGAUCUGGUGCUCAGCACAGAAUGAAUUCUUCAGGGAUGCAGUUUGCCUUCCAGAACCUGUUCACCCAAGUGUUAUUCUGACCUGCACCGUCUUUUUCUCUGAGCCUAGGUUUCUUUUCCUCUUUGUACAAAUGACAUGCUAGUAUUUCUUAGAGACACACGACACUUUUGAAUUUGCUACUCACCACGUGACUACAAAUAUACCCAUUUCUCCAAACAUCCUUAUGGUCUCCUCUCCUGAUUUCCUAAAGGAGAAACUUCCUGUAAAGCCAGUCCCCCCACCUGUGCUGUGGUCAUCCCCCCUGUGGGGCCUCAGCUGCUUAGGUUCGUCACUUCUGUUCCUCUUCCCCCUGCAUCUGGAACCUCCCUCUCCCCCUGACGCAUCUCAGAAAACAGCCCAGGUCUUAAAAACAUAAGCAAACCAGCCAGCAAAUUGCCUGGCUGCCUCCUUCUGUAAAUCUCUGUGCAGUGUUUGCUCCUCCUCUGGAGAGUUCUUGGAAAUCUGGGCCACCCCUUGCCAACUUCCCUUCCUGCUCCCGUCAUCACAGCAGGCUGGCUCGCGGCCACCCGUUCACUUACGCGGCCUCGUCGAGGUCGUGCUGACCUCUGUACUUACAAGUCCUGCGGUAGAGAUACAUGUCUUACCUUACCCGACCUCCUGAUGCAUUUGGUGCAAGGGGCCACUCCCUCCCUGAAGCUGGCUUCUCCGUGAAGCCCAUCCGGGUCCCAGCUGCCUCCCACACACGGGCCUUCAAAUCCCAUGUAGCAAAGCUGGACUUGGUUUCCCCUCCAAACCAAACUAUCCUCACCUCCGUCUAAUUUAUGACAGCGCCAGUGUCUCGCACAGCAGCUCACCCAAACCAGGAAUUUCAGUCCUUUCCAACCCUUCUUUUCUGCCCUACGGAUUCAGGUGCUUAUUUAAUCCUAUUAUCUUCCCUCCCCUAAUGUCUAUGAGAUUUGCUUCUGUCACUUUUUCCAACUAUUGGUACAAUUUUGGGGAUGUGAUAGUGCUCACCUGAAUCACUUCCACACCUCCUAGAUAGUGGAGCCUUCUCCAGCCUCUCCUUAUAUUAUAGCAAACAAUCGGUCCUAAAGUCCGCAGACAGAGACACAGUGCGGUUAAGGAGAGAGAGUUCCCGCCCUCAGAUGCAGGCACGAGCCUUCUACCAGCUGGGUGAGGUGGAGCGAGUUUAUUUGCCUUCCCUGUGCCUCGGUUUCUUCUAGUGAGGGUGCUAAUCUUCAGAACAGAGUUCUCGCAAUACAUGUUAAGGUAUGUAGGUGUGCGUACCUGGCAUACAGAAGGUGUUUGAGAAAUAGUUGUUAACUCUGCCCAAGGAUAACAUCAAAAAUUAGAACCAAAACUGAAUGACAUCACGCCCCACUUUAAAAUGAGUCCAUGCUCCCACAGGGCAGAGCAGGUCCGUGCUACAUUCCCAUCCUGCUCUUCGGGGUUCACACGCAACUUCACACUGCAGGCAUAAAGUGCAAACAAUGCACUCUCACAUUUCUGAAACUCUUACGGGCCUGGUAUACUCAUCCCCCACAUACCACACAAAGUCCUAUCCAUUCCCCAAACCCUGUGCAUUGUGAAGUCUAACAACAUCUGUCUGCCACCCCAAAAGGAAAGAAACCAUUACACAGAAUUCUCAUCUCACAUAUACUUGUGUGUAAACACAUGUGUGCAUAGACACAUGCACACACAUCGUCCUGUAUUACACUUGUGUAUUUGCACAUGCGUCUGUCUUGGAAUCUGAGUCCGCAAGGAGGUAGUGGGACUCAUCUCAGGGUACAUAAAACGUGCCCUAGAGGGACUCCUACACCAGUUACCUUCCUGGGGGCCUCGCGAUUUGGGAAAUGGUAGCGCAGCAGAUAGAUCGCUCCCAAAGACGACCUCACCCCCUUUCUCCUGCGCUGUAGAGGCGUCCUGUUCCAUCUCUCAGGGAACCGGAGGCCACAUCCUCCCUCUCCUCUGGAAUCCAGGCUGCUCCAGGUCUGCCUGGACCUGGAUAGCAUCAUGGAAGCAACAUUUGAGGUAUUUUAAGCUUGGACUUACAAGAACCGGAAGCUUCUGCUUUUCCCCUUUUUUGUAUCUGACUGCUAUAGAAGGCGCCCAAACACACGCAGAGCCCUCACUAGAAGGAAGCCAGAGCCCACUGGCAGCCAAAGCAAGCCUGUUCUCUCGCCACCCCCUGGGGAAGAGCUUGGCCAAGCGGCAGAGCCAGGCUGCUCCUCCUUUGGGUGGAGCAGGGAACCUUUCACCGGGAAUGGGACUUUGGCAAUUCAGUGCUGAAAUCCCUUCAGUCCCAGGCUGUCUGGCGGUGGGGUGCCCUCCCUCAGGACACAGCACUGCCGACUCUGUGGGGCAGGGGUCUCAGAGGCCUCUGAUGGAAAAGGACAUCUUUAGCUCCAAGGCUGAUUUUACCGUGAGUCAAACAAUCACUCUUGCGUCUGCUUCUGACCUCCAGUCAUGCUCAGCCCAGCCACGUGGUCUAGGAGCGGCUGCUGCAGCUCACACAGUGAACCCAAUUAAUACAGAGAAGACUACCCCAAAGUUACAUAGUGUGAAUUCCCAGUGAAGUGACAGCCCAAAUGUUAAGCCCCAAAUAGCGUCCCUCUUUAGAGUUCAAACUACAAAAAUUCAAAUACACAAAAAAGGAAGACAUCUCCAAUUUCUUAGCCUGCUCGGUCUCCUCCCGAUGGUGUUCAGGCCCCUUGACUGCCUCCUCAGCUGCGCUCCCAAGUAGCAGGUAAAGCUUCUCUGCGUCCUAAGACACAAGACCUCAGCUCUGCCUCCACCACCACUCUGGAGCCACCACAAGCGAAUCUGCACGCCAUGGCUGUGACAACCCUGUCCAGUGACCGGACCCUCAGAACCCGUUCACUGAUGAACCAGGCUUAUGGUAUAGAUCAUAGACCACAUAUCAACAUGAAGGCCAGUACUACCCUAGAGGACAGUGUGGACAGGGAAAAAGGAACCAGCACCAAGGGGGGAACUGGAAGGGUAGUGUCUCUCUGCUAACCCAGUGGGAGAGGAAGGAGGUGACCCAGAGGUUUGUCCCAGUCUGUGACUCCCAUGUCCUGUAUCCAGGUGAGAUGAUGCUGUGAAUUUCAGGGUCCCCUCCAAAUCUCAUGCUGAGAUUCACUGCUGUUUAGCAGCAUUAAGAAGUGAGACUUUAGGAGCUGAUGAGGCCAUGAAUAGAUUGACCCUCACGAAUGGAUAGCACUGCUACAGAGACAGUGGACUAGUAAUUGUGGCAGAGCGGUCUUGAUUUAAAAAAAAAAAAAGAUGAGUUCUACCACAUUUUUGCAAACACACAAUGACACAGCAAAAAGGCCCUCUCCAAAGGGGUGGCUUCUCAGCCACUGGAACCCAGAGCAAAUAAACUUGGAAUGUUUGUAAAUUACCUAGUCUGUGGUAUUCUGUGAUAGCAACAGAAAAGACUGUGAGUCUACACAUUUCCUGUUCUUGGAGGCCCUUAAAACUCUCUAUUACAACUGUGUUUUAAUAAAUAUCUGUUCCCAGAAGCCACAGAGCUUUACCUAAAACAGCAUUCUUAAGAAACCGCUUCUUAGGGAAAGUACUUUACACCAAGAUCCCCAUCUAUUUUGUUCCUUGAAAUAUCUUCCUAGAAGCACUGCAGAUUA